rnacentral:rRNA from 1 species
AGCGUAGGUGGGUUGGUAAGUCAGUGGUGAAAUCCCCGAGCUUAACUUGGGAACUGCCAUUGAUACUAUCAGUCUUGAAUACUGUGGAGGUUAGCGGAAUAUGUCAUGUAGCGGUGAAAUGCUUAGAUAUGACAUAGAACACCAAUUGCGAAGGCAGCUGGCUACACAAUUAUUGACACUGAGGCUCGAAAGCGUGGGGAUCAAACA